UUCUGUUUCUCAUUUACGGGCGGCUGUGCGUGUCACAGAGCUGUGCAAACAUCAAUCACGCCGGCCAACACCCAGGGAGACUUUCUAACGUGGAGGAGCGCGGGCCGUUCCCCAGGUCGGCGAAGGCCAUCCAGAAGGUCAAUGUCAGAGGAAGACCCGACCACUCUGCCUGGAGGAGGAACCUACUGCGUGGCCCCGGCGUUCAUGUGGGGGCUCAGGGGAGUCCCUUGUCCCCACCUUCCGGGCAGGGUGUGCGGGGAGUGUCCUCGCCGAUCCCAGCAGGGCCGAGAUGCUUCUCAGGACUGUCGGGGGCAAGAGAGGAGCCUUGGGAGAAAAUUCUGUCGCUACACGCCAAGUGUCCUACUUGUGACUUGUUAUGCCACCUUUUCACGUCCUAACGUGUUUCCUCCGUUCAGGUGCUGGCCCUGCUGCCGGGAAUGGGCGGGGUCUGGCUGGACGUCUCGGGGUCCCACCAGGCUCUGCGGUCCCCGUGGCUGGGCGGGACCGGGCAUCCUUCUGCGGCCCAGUGACCACACAGACCCCGAGAAGCCGCAGGCCAUGGGCCAGCAUCGCUGAGGCGUUCGAGGUUCCUUCUUCCCAGUCAGUUUCAGCGAGGUUUCUUCUUAUUUUUCCUGUGACAUUUUGGAAGCAUGCUGGUUCCCCUGAUUGCACUUGAGAGACGCACUAGUGUCACCAGGAAGACACUUGUCCCAGCUCACCCCCGGAUUCUGGAGGAAACCCAGCGGUGGCGACACUUGCACGGGUCACAGCCGCGAGUACCGAAGCGGGCUACUCCCCCUCACUUUGAUAUGUAAACAUUUCAAAAGUUUUUGAUGUUCGUUGACUCUGCCCGGGGCCUUCCCUUUGCCACACGGAGCACCAUUAAGGCCUGUGCUCCGGCCUCAGCCUUUACCGGGAAUCCAAAGGCUGGCUGAAGUUCAACCCUUGGUCGCUGGUCGGAACUUUCACCCCAAAAGUCUGGAGCUUCACACUCGACAGAUUUCCUUGGCAAACUGCUCGUUUUUCUUCAGGCUGCUUAAUCAAUGGUCUCAACUCCACUGAUGAGGCCACUUCUCUUGAUCCCUGUUCAUUUAUAAGCGUCUGACACUUCUGACGACGUGGGGACGAACUCAGCGCAACGCCGUCUAGAAAGAGCUCAGUUACACAACAUUGGGACAGAUAGAACAAGCCCUCCGCCUCAAGCCAACGCAUUCACAGAACAACUUUGGAAAGAAUUGUGUAGUGCUGUUUUUCUGGAGAGUGUUUUACAUCCCAAUACUCCGGUGUGUUCUCUCCGUUUCCUGCAGUGUGCCAUGUUAUUUUACAAUCAGCACAAAACAUGCGUCCCUUUAAACUGCUGAGCUCGCGCACAAGGGAAGGAGGGAGCCCAGCAGGGGCCGCCGGCUUUCCUCGUGGAGUCACCGUCCUUGCCUCGGCCGGGCCGUUCGAACUUCUGCGACGUCUGCUGGCACAACUGAUUUUCUGCCCUGCCGUGCCUCCGCAGCUCCAGCGCAGCCCCCCAUAAGCUUCCCCAGCAGUGAGGAUACAUGCGGGUUUUCCUGAGUGAAGAAUUACGGUGCGUUUCUAGUGAAACGGCGAACUAUUCGAAACGCCACGGAGUCUCGCAGAGCGAGAUGAGCAGGGAGCCUGUGGGGCCCGGUCCUCCCUCGCUCGCCCGCCGUUAACGCUCUUCUCCUUCCUCCCGCUUCCAGUUCCCAGGGAUGUUGGAAAUACCGCACCUUUUCACUUUGUGAAUGCCUUGAGGAGUCACGCCACUUCCCUGGCGGGGCCUCAGGGUGCGUUCCCGUGUUUGCAGUUCCCCGCGAGAUGCUGGGCAGCCGUGAGAGCAGAGUGGCCGGAGCUGCCCUCACCGCCACGCCCCUGUGAGCGCUCCCGCCUACGACCGUACGCCUAUGAUGGCUUCGUGACUACAAUUUACACAAGCAUACACAACAACAGUGCAUGCAGAAAGGCAGCACAUUAGUAGUGCAUCUAGUGUCCCAGAUAUUGCUUGUGUUACCGUAUCACUUCGUUUAAGCCUGAAAGCACGCAGAGCAGGGGCCUGUACGGCUCAGGCGCGACGUGGGAGCGAUGCCAAGACGCACGCGAGGAGGGUCAGGCCCGUCCGUCCACCCCGGCCAGCUCUGAGGGUGUGGGGCCCACAGGGAUGUGGGAAACCAGGACGGCCUUGACUCUGCAUCAGAGCUGAACCUGCCCGGGAAGAGGGAGAGGAAGAGGAGGAGACGGAGGUGACCCAAGGUUGGGGGGAUGGUGGAGCCACCCCCCAGGUGCAGCAGGUCGGAGAAGGCGGGGUCUCCGCUCUGGUCUUUUCCUGCCACUCUGCACCCAGCAGGGCUGAUGCCUGGGGUUGUUUCAGCUGGGCUCCCUCGUCCCGUGGCCUCUGCGGGAACUUGGCCUUGGGCUGCACCAGCCACGACGAGAGGGUGGGGGCAGGGGACAGAGAUGUUCUCCGCUCCCUGCAGGCUGACUCUGCUGGGGGCCCUUUCCUGGCGCGCUAUCGGGCGCCCGGUUUACCCCUUGCCCCCCGCCCGCCCCACCCCCGGUCCGGCAGAGUAACGACCAUGCUGCUGCCCACGCGGGGAGGGGACACCACCUCGCCUUUUGGUUUUCUCCAACCAAGCCCACGUCUUGAAAAUGGCUCCUUUAUCGAACGACUGUCCUCCGUGACGCUUGGGGAAGGAGUCACCUGCUUCCCGCAGAUAUUCUGGGUCACAGAAAGAGAACGACAGAUGUGUUUGUUCCCUACGGCUGCUGUCACAAAUGACCCAUGACCUCGCUGACUGUAGCUCGCAGGUCAGCUUCUUUUUCCAGAAAUGAAUAAACGUGAUAUUUCAGGACA